rnacentral:rRNA from 1 species
UACGUAGGGUGCGAGCGUUGUCCGGAAUUAUUGGGCGUAAAGAGCUCGUAGGCGGCGUGUCGCGUCGGCCGUGAAAACCUGCAGCUUAACUGUGGGCUUGCGGUCGAUACGGGCAUCACUGGAGUUCGGCAGGGGAGACUGGAAUUCCUGGUGUAGCGGUGAAAUGCGCAGAUAUCAGGAGGAACACCGGUGGCGAAGGCGGGUCUCUGGGCCGAUACUGACGCUGAGGAGCGAAAGCGUGGGGAGCAAACAGG